rnacentral:rRNA from 1 species
CCUACGGGAGGCAGCAGUGGGGAAUUUUGGACAAUGGGCGCAAGCCUGAUCCAGCAAUGCCGCGUGAGUGAAGAAGGCCUUCGGGUUGUAAAGCUCUUUUGUCAGGGAAGAAACGGUGAGGGCUAAUAUCCCUUGCUAAUGACGGUACCUGAAGAAUAAGCACCGGCUAACUACGUGCCAGCAGCCGCGGUAAU